ACCUUUACCAUUUUUUAACUAAUCUAUCAUUCCUCAAACAGGUAAAAAAUUCACAAAAUGUGUAAAAUCCUCAUCCAAGUAAGAUUUGUGCAAGGCCUAAUGGAUGAUCCGCCUGUGCAUGCUGUAUGAUUUGACUUGAAGGGGAUACCCAACCAGUGUGGGAAAAAACCCCUAUCCUUUCCAGUAUUGUUCUUUGACUAAAACUGAGUUUCCCACAGCUUUUUCCUACCCCUGCCCUGGAUGCAUUUUAUCUAAAUACCCCCUCCCUGUUCUGCAUACACAACCUAAAACGCACUUCCAACACAUUAAAGAGUUUACACCAAACCUUGUGUGACAAAUCACAUGUGGGCAGUGCUUUCAUGUUCUCCUUCUCUCAGUGCUUGCUCUUGAUUGUAUGUGUCACACUCCUCAUGUGUUGGUAGUGAGUGGGCAGUGUAUAUGGUCAGCUGAUCGCAUGCUGCUUGUAUCGCAAGAGAAGAAGCAACAAGAGAGCUGCUGUUUGAAAAGGACAAAAAAGCUGCAUUUUGGAAUAAACCUAAAUUACCUCCGAACCCUGUGGCUUCAACUGUUUGCAGAUCCUGUAACCCAGAUAAUGGAUAGAAUCAAAUUCAACUCCUAGUUGAAGUUGUGGCCACAGUUUUCAAACUAUAUUUCCUAAUCACGAAUUGUGAUUAAUUAAAAAAAUACUAAUAUUUACUUAUUUCCUCCCUUAUGUCUGUUUGCAGUUCCAGCUCAUCUGGCACCCAGAUUCCAAAGACAGAGGUACCUCCUCAAACUGUAUAGAAAAUAUUGUAUAUACUUAAAAGAGAGGUCGGCACAGGAGCCACGCCAGCGAAUAUACACCAUGGCCAUUCCUCUUACGGCCAAUAUACCUCUGCCAGCUGGAUGAUCAAGACACAGGAUUUUCCAACCUGGUUUCACUAGGUUUCCCACCGAAUUCUGUAAAAAAUCUUAAGUGAGAAAAUAUCUAUCUAUUGAUUGUUCAGUAUUCUGUGAGUGUUGGGACUAAAAGCUUGUUUUAGACCAAAAAAAAGAAGAAGAAAUCAUAAAAGAAAAAUUCCAACCACAAGACUUGAUGUGGUACUUUUAAUCAAACAAAUGAAACAAUUAUUGCUGUCCCUCUUGCUUAAAUUUCACUUCUGUGAAACAAUAAAAUUAAAAGCAUGAUUAAAUAUUUAAAGACUAGCAAAAUCUCCAGGUCGAAACAAAGAAGUGCAUGCAUUGAUCAAUUGUAAGAACUGUCUUUUGUCUUUAUUUCUGUUGAUAUCUACUUUUAUGCACCUUAGCAAAAUGCUAACCUAUUAAUAGAAUAGACCAAAUAUAACCUAAAAAUGAAAUAGCUAGCACAAUAUCUUAAUGAAAAAAUGUAAAGACAACAUUCAGUAAUGUAUUUUAUUUUGAAAAUGCUUUAAAAAAUACAAGAAUGGAUGAAAUGUGUAGUAAUGUAUUGAUUUGGGGUUUACAAUUUCUGUUUUAUUUAAAAGGAAAAUUAAAAAUGAAAUUAUCUGUAAAAGCCUAAACAAUGAGACCACUGUUUCAAAUAAAGGUCCUGUCAACUCAA